ensembl:lncRNA
AAGACCUCCACCUUUGGGGAAAUAAGGGAGCAGGAGGAAUUCCUUCUUUUUUUGUUCUAAGCCAGGGCAGAAAAUUAAAGUGGAGUGCAUUAAACAAACAUUAACAUAAUAUGAGGGGCAGAGUGAAAAUACUCGACUUUGUCUGUGUCCAUCAUGUUCUAAGAAUAAGUGUUUCCAAAGUUUUUAAGUGUAGAUUUUGAUUGUUUUGCUUUCGCUGUGAAUUCAGGUGGACUGCCUGUUUCUAUUAUUUCUAACCACAUGGUGCUGACACGGGAAUGAUGAUGAUAUGAUUGCUUGGAAAGAAUGGUGAAGCUGAGGUUAAAAGUAAGAUUUUUUUUUUAAGGGUAACACAUGUUGGUCGGUCUCCUCUUUCGCUGCCAUCUUUUUUUUUCUUUCUUUAACCACAGGUUUCCAGCCACGCCUGUCCUAAAACAGAGACCUCUUUAGAAGAAAGUAACGUGAUAGGUAGGUGUUUUGAAAGUUAGGAUCCUGCUAUGAAUGUCAAAGUAUUCUUGUAAAGUUCUGGUUUAUAGGCUCAUUUAAUUUUAGGCUUUAAAGAGGAUUUAAUUUUUUAAAAUUUGCGUUACCAUCACUACUCACUCAAAAUAUUUUUUACCUCCAGCUAAAGGGAUGAAAGCUCUGUGCUUUAAUUUUCAAAAAUAAUAACAAAACUCAAAAAUUAUUAUUAUGUAAUUUUUUAUAACUUUUACAUUUUAACUAAUUUCUUUGCUUUUUCCCCCUAAAAUAUAUUUUUAUGUAUCAAUUUAAGAUGCAUUUCUCAGUGCAUUUGUACAUAUAGGUGUCAUGGUACUGGGUGUAUGACCCCGUGUUUCCAAGCUUCUGGACAUUAUGCUGUUUAUUUUCAGAUAUUCAAUGUGAUUCUUCCUCGUGGUUAUUUUUAUGUCAUGUAUAUGUUUCUGUUAGCCUUUAGUUCUUUGUGACUUGUGAGUUUUUUCCCUUAGUGUCUUCUCCUGUGUCUUAUCUUCACGUUUGUUUUUCUCUUGUCUCCGUGUUUGG